GAUGAACGCUGGCGGCGUGCCUAAUACAUGCAAGUCGAGCGAACGGACGAGAAGCUUGCUUCUCUGAUGUUAGCGGCGGACGGGUGAGUAACACGUGGAUAACCUACCUAUAAGACUGGGAUAACUUCGGGAAACCGGAGCUAAUACCGGAUGAUAUUUUGAACCGCAUGGUUCAAAAGUGAAAGACGGUCUUGCUGUCACUUAUAGAUGGAUCCGCGCUGCAUUAGCUAGUUGGUAAGGUAACGGCUUACCAAGGCAACGAUGCAUAGCCGACCUGAGAGGUGGAUCGGCCACACUGGAACUGAGACACGGUCCAGACUCCUACGGGAGGCAGCAGUAGGGAAUCGUCCGCAAUGGGCGAAAGCCUGACGGAGCAACGCCGCGUGAGUGAUGAAGGUCUUCGGAUCGUAAAACUCUGUUAUUAGGGAAGAACAUAUGUGUAAGUAACUGUGCACAUCUUGACGGUACCUAAUCAGAAAGCCACGGCUAACUACGUG
rnacentral:rRNA from 1 species